UACGUAGGGGGCGAGCGUUGUCCGGAUUUAUUGGGCGUAAAGAGCGUGUAGGCGGCCCGGUAAGUCCGCCGUGAAAGUCCAGGGCUCAACCCUGGAAUGCCGGUGGAAACUGCCGGGCUGGAGUCCGGAAGAGGCGAGUGGAAUUCCUGGUGUAGCGGUGAAAUGCGCAGAUAUCAGGAGGAACACCAAUGGCGAAGGCAGCUCGCUGGGACGGUACUGACGCUGAGACGCGAAAGCGUGGGGAGCAAACAGG
rnacentral:rRNA from 1 species